AUAAAUGAAUUACUAAUAAAUGAAUGUAACAUAAUGUAAUGUAAAUUUAAAGGAGCCAGAGUCCAGAGGUCUAGCCUGGGUCUGAGGCAUAUCCCCCGUGACUUAGAGCUGGCCAUGAUGAGACCCCGUCUGGUCAAGUCAGCCGUUCCCUCCCAGCAGCCCUACCAGCCGUGGGACGACGAGGACGAGGUGGACAUCUACGCCCUGAGGCGAACAGCCUACAUGUGUCCCAUGUACGACCAGGAGGAGAGCAGCGUCAGGGGCAACAAGAGGGUGGCAGUGGAGGCCCUGGACAACAUUCCUUUCAGAAGGAAGAUCACCUUGUGUUAUUUCAUGGGGGGGUCGCAGGGUCAUGCUGCCAAAAGACUACUAACUCCACCCCCCUCAAUUUCCACAACAACCCCCCUUUGUCCCAGACAGCGAAAAACAGGACACACACAGAGAGACAGAGUGGACACCAACAGGGCCAUCAGAGGGACAGAGACCCUCUCAGUUGAGGUUAGGAAUGUCAGCUACUAAAAGGCUUCUAUAGACCAUCUCUGUAGCAAGAGAACCUCCAGUGAUCAGACUGGGCUGUCCUCUGUCUCCCCUCAUCUCUGAUACUCCAGACUGGGCUGUCCUUUGUCUCCCCUCAUCUCUGAUACUCCAGACUGGGCUGUCCUCUGUCUCCCCUCAUCUCUGAUACACCAGACUGGGCUGUCCUCUGUCUCCCCUCAUCUCUGAUACUCCAGACUGGGCUGUCCUCUGUCUCCCCUCAUCUCUGAUACUCCAGACUGGGCUGUCCUCUGCCACACUCACCUCUGAUACUCCAGACUGGGCUGUCCUCUGCCACACUCACCUCUUCUCCCCCAAGAGGACCCCUUCUCCCUGCCUCCCUUCCCCACUACUCCCCCUAGAGUACCGGUGCACCCUGCCUCCCCUCCCCACUACUCCCCCUAGAGUACCGGUGCACCCUGCCUCCCCUCCCCACUACUCCCCCUAGAGUACCGGUGCACCCUGCCUCCCCUCCCCACUACUCCCCCUAGAGUACCGGUGCACCCUGCCUCCCCUCCCCACUACUCCCCCUAGAGUACCGCUGCACCCUGCC
rnacentral:lncRNA from 1 species